CAGCACGGGGGCACCCUGGUGGCGAGUGGCGAACGGGUGAGUAAUACAUCGGAACGUGUCCUGUAGUGGGGGAUAGCCCGGCGAAAGCCGGAUUAAUACCGCAUACGCUCUACGGAGGAAAGGGGGGGAUCUUAGGACCUCUCGCUACAGGGGCGGCCGAUGGCAGAUUAGCUAGUUGGUGGGGUAAAGGCCUACCAAGGCGACGAUCUGUAGCUGGUCUGAGAGGACGACCAGCCACACUGGGACUGAGACACGGCCCAGACUCCUACGGGAGGCAGCAGUGGGGAAUUUUGGACAAUGGGCGCAAGCCUGAUCCAGCAAUGCCGCGUGUGUGAAGAAGGCCUUCGGGUUGUAAAGCACUUUUGUCCGGAAAGAAAACGUCGUGGUUAAUACCCGUGGCGGAUGACGGUACCGGAAGAAUAAGCACCGGCUAACUACGUGCCAGCAGCCGCGGUAAUACGUAGGGUGCAAGCGUUAAUCGGAAUUACUGGGCGUAAAGCGUGCGCAGGCGGUCCGCUAAGACAGAUGUGAAAUCCCCGGGCUUAACCUGGGAACUGCAUUUGUGACUGGCGGGCUAGAGUAUGGCAGAGGGGGGUAGAAUUCCACGUGUAGCAGUGAAAUGCGUAGAGAUGUGGAGGAAUACCGAUGGCGAAGGCAGCCCCCUGGGCCAAUACUGACGCUCAUGCACGAAAGCGUGGGGAGCAGACAGGAUUAGAUACCCUGGUAGUCCACGCCCUAAACGAUGUCAACUAGUUGUCGGGUCUUCAUUGACUUGGUAACGUAGCUAACGCGUGAAGUUGACCGCC
rnacentral:rRNA from 1 species